UACGUAGGGUGCAAGCGUUGUCCGGAAUUAUUGGGCGUAAAGAGCUCGUAGGCGGUUCGUCGCGUCGGCUGUGAAAACCUGAGGCUCAACCUCAGGCCUGCAGUCGAUACGGGCGGACUUGAGUACUGCAGGGGAGACUGGAAUUCCUGGUGUAGCGGUGGAAUGCGCAGAUAUCAGGAGGAACACCGGUGGCGAAGGCGGGUCUCUGGGCAGUAACUGACGCUGGAGGAGCGAAAGCGUGGGGAGCGAACAGGA
rnacentral:rRNA from 1 species